rnacentral:rRNA from 1 species
ACGCUCGACACCUAGGGGGCAGCAGUGGGGAAUAUUGCACAAUGGGGGAAACCCUGAUGCAGCGACGCCGCGUGAGUGAAGAAGUAUUUCGGUAUGUAAAGCUCUAUCAGCAGGGAAGAAGAUGACGGUACCUGAGUAAGAAGCCCCGGCUAACUACGUGCCAGCAGCCGCGGUAAUCUGAGCGGGCUGGCAAGGC